UCAAGUUAUUAAGGGUGCAGGGCGGAUGCCUUGGCACUAGGAGCCGAUGAAGGACGUGAUAAGCUGCGAUAAGCUUCGGGGAGUUGCACGUAAACUUUGAUCCGAAGAUUUCCGAAUGAGGAAACUCACUUAGAGUAAUGUCUAAGUAUCAUUAAGUGAAUACAUAGCUUAAUGAGGGGAACUCAGGGAACUGAAACAUCUAAGUACCUGAAGGAAGAGAAAGAAAUUCGAUUCCGUAAGUAGCGGCGAGCGAACGCGGAUUAGCCCAAACCAAUAAAGUUUUCUUUAUUGGGGUUGAGGACAUACCACAUAUAAGAGGUCAUUGUAGUUGAAGAGGUUUGGAAAGACUCAUCAUAGAAGGUAAUAGUCCUGUAGUUAAACUAUAAUUCUUUAGGUAUGAUCCAGAGUACCACGGGACACGUGAAACCCUGUGGGAAGCAGGAGGGACCACCCUCCAAGGCUAAAUACUACCUAGUGACCGAUAGCGUAUAGUACCGUGAGGGAAAGGUGAAAAGAACCCCGGGAGGGGAGUGAAAUAGAACCUGAAACCCUGCACUUACAAGCUGUGGAAGCACAUUUCUUGUGUGACCACGUACUUUUUGUAGAACGGGCCAACGAGUUACGUUAAGUAGCAAGGUUAAGCACUUAAGGUGCGGAGCCGUAGCGAAAGCGAGUUUUAACUGAGCGUUCAGUUACUUGACGUAGACCCGAAACCGGGCGACCUACCCAUGAGCAGGAUGAAGCGAAAGUAAAAUUUCGUGGAGGUCCGAACCCACGAGCGUUGAAAAGCUCGGGGAUGACUUGUGGGUAGCGGUGAAAUUCCAAUCGAGCCCGGAGAUAGUCUGGUUCUCCCCGAAAUAGCUUUAGGGCUAGCCUCAAGGUGAGAGAUACGGAGGUAG
rnacentral:rRNA from 1 species